rnacentral:rRNA from 1 species
UACAGAGGGUGCGAGCGUUGUUCGGAAUUACUGGGCGUAAAGCGCGCGCAGGCGGAUCCUGCAAGUCUGGAGUGAAAUCUCACCGCUCAACGGUGAGGCUGCUUUGGAUACUGCGGAUCUGGAGACCGGUAGAGGCUGGUAGAAUUGCAGGUGUAGCGGUGGAAUGCGUAGAGAUCCGGAAGAACACCGGUGGCGAAGGCGGUCUGCUGGGCCAAGACUGACGCUGAGGCGCGACAGCGUGGGGAGCAAACAGG